CACACAACCCCCACAUAUUCAACGCCAAGACACCCGCCGCGAGAGAAUAAAUUCACUUACUCACACCAAGUCCAACGAGCGAAGGGUGAAGAGAAGAAGAUACAAAACUUCUUUUGAGUUGUGGGGUGGGUUGUUGUUGGUUAAAUCACCCACCGACCUUUUUUUUUCUUCAACCCGCAGCACUCUACCCGGGGGGGCGGUGGGUACACCCCCCGACAGAUUUGUCAUGGCCGCGAGGAGAGUUAUGGGUAUCACCAAAUUUUGUUUGAUAAAGCCCGACCAAAUAACUUCGUAUAAUGAUGCCUUUCACCCCGCACCCGGAGAGAUCCCCCCCCGACCCCCCUUUUUGGGGGAUUUAUCAAAUAGGGUUACGCGCAGGAGAGAGUUCUCUCUCUUUUUAUGGAAACACACACACCCCAAAUAAAAAAAGAGUAAGAUAAAUCCCUGUCCGCGCGCCCCCAAAUACCCCGGGGGGGGGAUACUUCUUGGGGACAGUUCCUAAAUUUCUCAAGCUCUCUGUAUUAGAAUAACCCAAAUUUUUUUUUUUUUUUUUUGGAUGGGGAAGAU
rnacentral:rRNA from 1 species